UACGUAGGGUGCAAGCGUUGUCCGGAAUUAUUGGGCGUAAAGAGCUCGUAGGCGGUUUGUUGCGUCGGCUGUGAAAACCUGGGGCUUAACUCCGGGCCUGCAGCUGAUACGGGCAGACUAGAGUUCGGCAGGGGAGACUGGAAUUCCUGGUGUAGCGGUGAAAUGCGCAGAUAUCAGGAGGAACACCGGUGGCGAAGGCGGGUCUCUGGGCAGUAACUGACGCUGAGGCGCGACAGCGUGGGGAGCGAACCGG
rnacentral:rRNA from 1 species